rnacentral:rRNA from 1 species
GACGAACGCUGGCGGCGUGCUUAACACAUGCAAGUCGAACGGAAAGGCCCUGCUUUUGUGGGGUGCUCGAUUGGCGAACGGGUGAGUAACACGUGAGUAACCUGCCCUUGACUUUGGGAUAACUUCAGGAAACUGGGGCUAAUACCGGAUAUGAUCUCCUGCUGCAUGGUGGGGGUUGGAAAGUUUCGGCGGUUGGGGAUGGACUCGCGGCUUAUCAGCUUGUUGGUGGGGUAGUGGCUUACCAAGGCUUUGACGGGUAGCCGGCCUGUGAGGGUGACCGGCCACAGUGGGACUGAGAUACGGCCCAGACUACUACGGGAGGCAGCAGUGGGGAAUAUUGCACAAUGGGCGGAAGCCUGAUGCAGCAACGCCGCGUGCGGGAUGACGGCCUUCGGGUUGUAAACCGCUUUCGCCUGUGACGAAGCGUGAGUGACGGUAAUGGGUAAAGAAGCACCGGCUAACUACGUG